rnacentral:tRNA from 1 species
GAGACUACAAAACCCUACUUUAAAUUUUAUAGACAUAACUCUUGUUACAAAGUAAAACUUAAAUAAU